GGUACGGUGCGCCUGACCCACGGGUGCAAACUCGCGAGUGUCGGUGUGCGCCUGCCAUCUUGAGUGACGAUACCAGCUGCACUUUACUGGGCGGUUGGAUUCUGUUGUCACUUCGUUUACUUUGAAAAAAUUAGAGUGUUUAAAGCAAGCGUUGCGCGUUGAAUACAUUAGCAUGGAAUAAUAAUUUAGGACUUUGCUUUCUAUUUUAUUGGUUUCUAGGAGCGAAGUA
rnacentral:rRNA from 1 species